rnacentral:rRNA from 1 species
GACGAGCGCUGGCGGCGUGCUUAACACAUGCAAGUCGAACGGAAAGGCCCUGCUUUUGUGGGGUGCUCGAGUGGCGAACGGGUGAGUAACACGUGAGUAACCUGCCCUUGACUUUGGGAUAACUUCAGGAAACUGGGGCUAAUACCGGAUAGGAGCUCCUGCUGCAUGGUGGGGGUUGGAAAGUUUCGGCGGUUGGGGAUGGACUCGCGGCUUAUCAGCUUGUUGGUGGGGUAGUGGCUUACCAAGGCUUUGACGGGUAGCCGGCCUGAGAGGGUGACCGGCCACAUUGGGACUGAGAUACGGCCCAGACUCCUACGGGAGGCAGCAGUGGGGAAUAUUGCACAAUGGGCGGAAGCCUGAUGCAGCAACGCCGCGUGCGGGAUGACGGCCUUCGGGUUGUAAACCGCUUUCGCCUGUGACGAAGCGUGAGUGACGGUAAUGGGUAGAGAAGCACCGGCUAACUACGUG